rnacentral:tRNA from 1 species
GGGUUGGUAGCUCAGGGGUUAGAGCAGAGGACUCAUAAUCCUUUGGUCGUGGGUUCGAAACCCACCCGACCCA